GAUGAAGAACGUAGCGAAAUGCGAUAAGUAGUGUGAAUUGCAGAAUUCAGUGAAUCAUCGAAUCUUUGAACGCACAUUGCGCCCCUUGGUAUUCCAUGGGGCAUGCCUGUUCGAGCGUCAUUUGUACCUUCAAGCUCUGCUUGGUGUUGGGUGUUUGUCUCGCCUCUGCGCGUAGACUCGCCUCAAAACAAUUGGCAGCCGGCGUAUUGAUUUCGGAGCGCAGUACAUCUCGCGCUUUGCACUCAUAACGACGACGUCCAAAAGUACAUUUUUACACUCUUGACCUCGGAUCAGGUAGGGAUACCCGCUGAACUUAAGCAUAUCAAUAAGCGGAGCA
rnacentral:misc_RNA from 1 species